rnacentral:lncRNA from 1 species
GUCUACUCUCAGACUUCACAUACACAGUCUACACGGUAGUUGUUUGUUCUCACUGCCGUACGGGGUUCCGCGUUCAGUGUCGCUCUACGAUAAGGUUGCCGUGUGCCGCUGUGUGUGAACUUGUGCGAGGACGCCACGGGGAUGGGGUUCGGAGCCACAGGUGUGCACCGUCAUCUGUUCACCGCCUCUUGGCUCGAAACUCCCGCUUCAAGACCUGCUCUGUGAUGACGGACAGACUUACCUGAAGCAUUUCUGCUUUACGGUGAGCAGAUCAUUCCAUAGGGCAGGCACUGAAGGAUAAAUUCACCGCUGAGAGACAAUUAAUUGAUCGCUGGCUUUUUUCCUUGCUGGUAUGAGGAAAUUCUCCUAUUUCUUUGCACAUCUAGUAAUUUUUGGCUGAAUGCUGAACGUUCUGUGAAGACUCUGGAUUCUGUUAUCUUCCUCUGGAGACUGUGGGUUCUUAUUUUAGUGGCCAUUCAAUCGCUGGGCCUGUAGGGGCUUGUUCUCAUGCUUUUUGGUGUUGAUUUGUGGAACACCCAACAUAACUUCCCUCAGAUGGAUAAGAUUCAACUUUCAGUCUUGGUCCCCCAGCCUUUCACGAGGCUCAGCUUUAACUUUUCUUAGAUUGGUCCUAGAGUAGACAUUACUGUAGGUGGUACUCUUCUCUCUCUUUUAAUGUUUAUUUAUUUGGGGGAGAGAAAGACAGAGUGUGAGUGGGGGAGGGGCAGAGAGAGAGGGAGACACGCAAUCCAAAGCAGGCUCCGGGCUCUGGGCUCUCAGCACAGAGCCCGACACGGGGCUCGAACCCACAAACCGUGAGAUCAUGACCUGAGCCAAAGUUGACUGAGCCACCCAGGCACCCCAUCUCUCUCUCUCUUUUUUUUUUUAAUUUUAUUUAUUUAAGUAAUCUCUACCCCCAACGUAGGGCCCAAACUCAUGACCAUGAGAUCAAGAGUUGUGUGCUCCUCCGACUGAGCCAGCCCGGUGCCCCUGUAGUCUUAUCUCUUAAAGAAACAAGUCAGAAGGUCUCUCCACCCCAGCCAGGUCCAGAUACCAGUGGUGCCCAGCAUGGGAUGUCUGCUGACAUUCUGGCUCUGAUCUCAACUCACCCCCCCUCCCCAGGAUUCAUGCCCUGGAGUAACUUCUUCCCCCUGAGGGCAGAAAGAGCCUGUGGCUUGCAUCCAGCCAACAGAACAUGACAGAGGGGGUGAGCUAUAACUCCCUUACUUGGCCUACGUUAUUUAAGACCUUGUCUCGGCAGACAGACCGGAACGAGGGAUUCUCCUCUUGCCCUUGAAGAAGAGAACUACCAAGAUGCGAGAAGGCCUGUAAGGGGCCACAGGUCAAGGAACCCCUAAGACCUGUGAGUGGCCUCCAGCUGUCCAGCCAAAGAAAGCAGCCAUGUGACCUUAGAAGAGGACCGCGAGCUUCGUAAGGAAACUGAUGGCUUGGUGGCACCCGUCUGAAGCCCUGAGCAGAGGACCCAGUAAGCCGUGCCUGGACCCCUGACCCAGGGAGCUGGGUGUGCACAAUAAACGCAUGUUUUGUAAAGCCACU